rnacentral:lncRNA from 1 species
GGUUACUUUAAAUUUGUUACACUCAAACAUUAUAACAUCAACAAGAAUUUUAAAAAACCAUCCAGACACGCAGCACUCUAAUAAAUCACCUUCCUCAGUUUUCUACCUCCUUUGUGUUCUGUUUACAUGUAAACCCUGGACCUAGUUUCAUCAUAACAGAUGCUGCUUUGUAUGUAGCUUCCCUUCACCUAACUUUUCAGGAAGCACUUUUCUGUAUGGCUAAUUUUUAAAUUAUCAUUUGAGUGGCCACAUCCACACAUGUUAGAUGUUGAACUGUUAAUGUUUCCAGUUACGUCUUUAAACAACUCUAAAUGUGGUAACUACCUCGUUGCUAGGAGACAAGCUCGCCCUCAUCCCCAGCCAUGAGUGUUGACAAGCAUUGGCCACAUGCAAACAAACAAAGACCAAGCAGAGAGCUGAUCCCAGGAUAUUAGCAGGGCUUUUGGCCACAUGGGGAGUCAGUAUGCAUCCCCCACUUCCUUGGCCAGAAUCUAGGCAGACGUGGGGAGUUUUCUUCACACUUAACUGAGGGUCCAAAAACAACAGAGAAAGAAGCUGGGGACCAUGGCGGUGACACCUUCGUUCCUGGGGGCAGUGCAGGUCCGCUGUGUUACACAGAAACCUGGUAUGGACUCUUCUCCCUUCUGACCACAGCCGAGACUCAGAGGGACCUGCGUGUCUCUAGGAGGGAUUAUCAGUGGACAUCUCUGAAUCUCUCCAUCUGGACCCUCAGUCAGACUUCUGGAAGACCGCCUUCCCUUCACAGGGGCUUCACUCUUAUUUUAAGACGGGUCGCAGUGUUUGAAAAGCUCAACAAUUUGCCACUUCGUUAGUCGGUUACCGGAAGCUACAAUGUACUCGAUUCGCCUGUCCUCAGUCUGUCUUGGUUCUCAGAAGAUCCUGUCUCUGGUCAGCUCCGUUCUUCUGGGUCACACUGCAUCCUGAUCUGGGGCUGCUCCAUCCUGUGAGGCCCCCCUCCAGUCCUGAAGCAGCCUGAACUACCCCCCCUUCUCCUGCCUUCUACAGCAGCCACAGUGGUAUCACUCCCAGCUGUUCCUGAGCUGGUUCCCAAGCUCAAGGCUAAGUGGCUCCGCCCGGAUCAGCAACCUUGCCAUGAACAGGUCAGACUGUGUUCAAACACCACCAAUGUAGAUUUAAUGCAAUCAGCCACUUACCCAACAGUUCCAAAUUAAAUGCAGACGCACUCAACACGUCUGCUAAGUCUUAUAAGGGAGGGAAUACUAUUUGCCAAACUUCAAAAAAGUUUUCAUUAAGAGAUUUCAUUACAGAUAGUCUGUUGAGAAUGGUAGACAUCUUUAAGGUUACCAAUGGUAACUCCAAAAAACUAAAUUUUAAUUAAAAGCUUAAAAACUAAGUUCAGUCAGCUUUCCCCCGACCUUAUUUUCCCUGACUACUCUGUGGCGGUUGAUGGCUUCUCUGUCCAUCCUUCAUCUCUACAUUGGUACUCACAACACUGGAUGAGUUUCCCUCUCUUCCCUGCAUGGCGCCUUCCCUGUUCCCUUCACGGUUCAUUUACUCCAAACGCCUGCAAUUAUCACCCACUCGUGGUUCCUGGGUAUCAGCUGGAAGUUGCAAGUAAUAGAAACCUAACUUGAACCAGCAUAAAAAUGCAAAAGAUACAGGUUUCCUCUGCUACCUGAAAGUAGGGCAUUCCCGAGAACCCUUUCAUAAAGUGAAGAACAAUUACCAUUAAUUUAUAUGGGGAAGGUUUUUGAGCGUUCACAGACCCAAAAAAUUACCCCCGAAUUCAUACCAAAUAACACACAAAACCUAAAAUAACGCUAACACGUAGUAAAAGCAGGAAUGAUAGGAGAAAUACCCAGCCUGUAUAAGGUAGAAAUCAUGUAUGUACUGUGUAGUUUCACUUACCAGAAUCGGGAAGACGUGGAACACACGGGAAGGCUGAGAGGUGGUGGUGGUGGUGGUGACAGUGAGGGGUCAGGCUGAGUCGUCGGAGGACGGGGCGGUGGGAGGUACAGGAGGUACAGGCGGUGGGGCGUAGGAGAGAGAGGGAGAGAGUCGUCUGUUACCAUCUCAUCGUCAGCUGAAUCCAUCAGGGCAGGCAGCUCCCUGACAUCUAUACCUUCUGACUCUGUCACCUCCAUGUCCAGGGUCGAGGUUCGCUGUCUGAUAUGGAAGGCUUGAAACAUGACUACGCUUGACUGCUUAGCCUCCAUAACUGGCUCGCUGAGAAACAAAUGCUGAACACUGUUCUCACAUUUCAUCUUCUUCGUAGAAGCAAAAUUCCUCUUCGGAUUUCUUUCAGUUAGGGAAAACAGGUACAAUGUAGGUCUUUCUUCACAGCGAAGUGGUCUAAAGUGAACUUCUGGAUAGAGGGAGAAACCAGUAUUUAAUUUAAGGAUCCUAGGCAAGAAUGAAGCUGAGCCUUAGGAACACUGAGCAUCAGGGACUCAAAACAUGUGGGCUUUUUAUCUAUUCUGUUUUCUUUUUCUGUGUCCAUGUCAUUUUCCUUUGUGCAGACUGAAUUUACAUCUCGUUUGUUACAGAGAGCAGGAACUCUGGGCUGUAAUGUCUUGGUCUCAAUUUCAGAUCUCUAAGAAAUGAUAUUGAUUGGCUCAGUGUAGGCUUAGGUCUUGAAUAAAUCAAUUUUGACUGGGGAUACA